rnacentral:rRNA from 1 species
UACAGAGGUCCCGAGCGUUGUUCGGAUUCACUGGGCGUAAAGGGUGCGCAGGUGGGCUGUCAAGUUCGAUGUGAAAGCCCGGGCUUAACCCGGGAAUGGCAUUGAAUACUGAUGGUCUGGAGGAUCGGAGGGGGGACUGGAAUUCUUGGUGUAGCAGUGAAAUGCGUAGAUAUCAAGAGGAACACCAGUGGCGAAGGCGAGUCCCUGGACGAUACCUGACACUGAGGCAACGAAAGCCCAAGGGAGGCAAACAGG